GACGAACCGUGCGAACGUUAUUCGGAAUCACUGGGCUUAAAGGGUGCGUAGGCGGGCCACCAAGUCAGGGGUGAAAUCCCACGGCUCAACCGUGGAAGUGCCUCUGAUACUUGUGGCCUCGAGGGUGCAGGGCGUGCGGAACUCAGGGUGGAGCGGUGAAUGCGUAGAUAUCCUGAGGAACACCGGUGGCGAAAGCGGCGCGCUAGACACCUUCUGACGCUGAGGCACGAAAGCCAGGGAGCAAACGGG
rnacentral:rRNA from 1 species